rnacentral:rRNA from 1 species
AGACAGCUGGCGGCGCGUCUUAAGCAUGCAAGUCGAACGGCAAGAGGUAGCAAUACCUCCUAGAGUGGCGGACUGGUGAGUAACACGUGGGUGACAUACCCUUCAGAUGGGGAUAGCUAUUAGAAAUAGUAGAUAAUACCGAAUACGAGCACAGGGGUUUAGAGAUCUGUGAGGAAAGGAGCUAAGGCUCCGCUGAAGGAUGGCCUGCGGCCCAUUAGCUAGUUGGUGAGGUAAGAGCCCACCAAGGCGAUGAUGGGUAUCCGGCCUUAGAGGGUGAACGGACACAUUGGGACUGAGAUACGGCCCAGACUCCUACGGGAGGCAGCAGCUAAGAAUAUUCCGCAAUGGACGAAAGUCUGACGGAGCGACGCCCGCGUGGAUGAAGAAGGCCGGAAGGUUGUAAAAUCCUUUUGAAACUGAAGAAUAAGCGUUGUAGGGAAUGACAGCGUGGUGACAGUAGGUUUUAAAUAAGCAACGGCUAAUUACGUGCCAGCCGCGGC